UACAGAGGGUGCGAGCGUUGUCCGGAAUCACUGGGCGUAAAGGGCGCGUAGGCGGCGCGGUAAGCGUGCGGUGAAAGCCCGGGGCUCAACCCCGGGUCGGCCGUGCGGACUGCCGGGCUGGAGCACUGUAGAGGCAGGUGGAAUUCCGGGUGUAGCGGUGGAAUGCGUAGAGAUCCGGAAGAACACCGGUGGCGAAGGCGGCCUGCUGGGCCUGUCCUGACGCUGAGGCGCGAAAGCGUGGGGAGCGAUCCGG
rnacentral:rRNA from 1 species